AGCCGACGCUCAAAGGGGCAAUUCCAGCGGGUCGAGCGCGGGAAUGCAACCAUGAUCCUCUUUCGGAGGUGACGCUUGUGGAACAGAGCGGGCGGACGGGUGAGUAACACGUUGGGCAACCUGCCUUGUAAGACUGGGAUAACCCCGGGAAACCGGGGCUAAACCGGAUAAUACUUUUCAUCACCUGAUGGAAAGUUGAAAGGUGGCUUCUUGCUCCACUUACAGAUGGGCCCGCGGCGGCAUUAGCUAGUUGGUGAGGUAACGGCUCACCAAGGCAACGAUGCGUAGCCGACCUGAGAGGGUGAUCGGCCACACUGGGACUGAGACACGGCCCAGACUCCUCGGGAGGGCAGCAGUAGGGAAUCUUCCGCAAUGGACGAAAGUCUGACGGAGCAACCCCGCGUGAGUGAUCAAGGUUUUCGGAUCGUAAACGCUCUGUUUUAGGGGAAGAACAAGUGCCGUUCGAAUAGGCGGCACCUUGACGGUCCUAACCAGAAAGCCCCGGCUAAUCUACGUGCCAGCAGCCGCGGUAUACGUAGGGGGCAAGCGUUGUCCGAAUUAUUGGGCGUAAAGCGCGCGCACGGCGGUCCUUUAAGUCUGAUGUGAAAGCCCACUGGCUUAACCGGGAAAAGUCAGUUGGAAACUGGAUGGAUCUUGAGUACAGAAGACGGAGAUGUGGAAUUCCACGUGUAGCGGUGAAACUGCGUAGUGACUGUGAGGACACCAGUGGCGAAGGUGGCUCUAUGGUCUGUACCUACGUUGGAAUCGACCCUUUGGAUCGAUCGGAAACUCCAAGGGAUGGUUCCCAGGGGUUUCGCCCCUAUGUGCGUAAGGUUACGCAUUAAGCACUCCGCCUGGGGAGGUACGGCCGCAAGGCUGAAACUCAAAUUUAAUUGACGGGGGCCCGCACAAGCGGUGGAGCAUGUGGUUUAAUUCGACGCAACGCGAAGAACCUUCCAGGUCUUGACAUCCUCUGCAAUCGGUAGAGAUACCGAGUUCCCUUCGGGGACAGAGUGACAGGUGGUGCAUGGUUGUCGUCAGCUCGUGUCGUGAGAUGUUGGGUUAAGUCCGCAACGAGCGCAACCCUUGAUCUUAGUUGCCAGCAUUUAGUUGGGCACUCUAAGGUGACUGCCGGUGACAAACCGGAGGAAGGUGGGGAUGACGUCAAAUCAUCAUGCCCCUUAUGACCUGGGCUCACACGUGCUAAUGGAUGGAACAAAGGGAAGCAAAACCGCGAGGUCAAGCAAAUCCCAUAAAACCAUUCUCAGUUCGGAUUGCAUGGCUGCAACUCGCCUGCAUGAAAGCCGGAAUCGCUAGUAAUCGCGAUCAGCAUGCCGCGGUGAAUAAAUUCCCGGGCCUUGUACACACCGCCCGCUACACCACGAGAUGUUGGUACACCCGAAGUCGGUAGGUACCUUUUGGACCUGGAACCGACGUUGGA
rnacentral:rRNA from 1 species